AUGCAACUAAAUAAACAAUCUUUUUAACAUCCAAUAAUGACACAAUUGCACUGAAACACAAUGAGAAAUACCAACAUAUUUAUGAAUGACAAUACUGAGUUAAGUUUGCUAACAAUGAUGUAGACUUACUUGUUAUCAAAGAUUCUAUGAAAGAGUAUGACCUACACACUCAUUUGAAUGUCCCCUUUGGUAUAUGUUCUGCCUCUUUUUACAGUAUAAAAGAAUAUAUACAAAUUUUGAAAUAUUUUAAUAAACAAAGUAUUAGAAAAGGUUAUUUGGCAUAAUCCUCUUGACUGGUUGGACUUUCAUCAAACAGAUAAUACACUGUAGACAAAAAACUAUCACCUUCCUACUUAGAGGUAUCAUUGCCAUUUCAGAAGUGACAUUUGUCUGCUAUCCAGAAACAUAUUCUUAAAUACCGAGACGAUAUCCUCACAACUUUUGUAUGAAAAAUUGCUCUUUACUAUAGAAUAUAGAAUAUUUUAGAAUAGAAUAUUUUUUAUUAUUCCAAUCAAGGGCCCUUGAUCACAGGCACUUGUUUCUAUCCAUACGAAGGUCGACUAUCCAUAUAAAUAGAAGAAGGUGGCUAACGAAAUUUUUUUUAGGUCACGACAGUCUCCGCUUGGGACGCUUUUUCUACCCUUCAACUUAAUGCUAAAAAUCCCUACCUUAUAUGAAUCGAUUCAGUGAAUAUUUU
rnacentral:lncRNA from 1 species